AGUUCCCGGUCUAUACUCCAACCCAUGUGAACAAUACCUCACGUUGCCUCGGCAGGUCGCGCCCACCCUGUAGGCCCUACCCUAUAGGACCUACCCGGGUGGCGCGGGUAAGCCUGCCGGCGGCCUACCAAACUCUGUUUAAUAUUGAAUUCUGAACUUAUAACUAAAUAAGUUAAAACUUUCAACAACGGAUCUCUUGGUUCUGGCAUCGAUGAAGAACGCAGCGAAAUGCGAUAAGUAAUGUGAAUUGCAGAAUUCAGUGAAUCAUCGAAUCUUUGAACGCAUAUUGCGCCCAUUAGUAUUCUAGUGGGCAGGACCGUUCGAGCGUCAUUUCAACCCUUAAGCCCCUGUUGCUUAGCGUUGGGAGCCUACGGCAACGUAGCUCCUCAAAGUUAGUGGCGGAGUUGGUUCACACUCUAGACGUAGUAAUUCUUAUCUCGCCUAUCAGUUGGACCGGCCCCCGCCGUAAAACCCACCAAUUUCUCAAGGUUGACCUCGAAUCGGUUCUGAAAAUCCACUGAACUUAAGCAUAUCAAUAAGCGGAGGAA
rnacentral:rRNA from 1 species